rnacentral:rRNA from 1 species
CGGCAACAGCUCAAAUUUGAAAUCUGGCCCUUGUGGUCCGAGUUGUAAUUUGUAGAGGAUGCUUUUGGUGCGGUGCCUUCCGAGUUCCCUGGAACGGGACGCCAUAGAGGGUGAGAGCCCCGUCUGGUUGGACACCAAGCCUCUGUAAAGCUCCUUCGACGAGUCGAGUAGUUUGGGAAUGCUGCUCUAAAUGGGAGGUAAAUGUCUUCUAAAGCUAAAUACCGGCCAGAGACCGAUAGCGCACAAGUAGAGUGAUCGAAAGAUGAAAAGCACUUUGAAAAGAGGGUUAAAUAGUACGUGAAAUUGUUGAAAGGGAAGCGUUUGUGACCAGACUUGGGCUUGGUUAAUCAUCCAGCGUUCUCGCUGGUGCACUUUGCCAGCCCAGGCCAGCAUCAGUUCGCUGCGGGGGAUAAAAGCUUCGGGAAUGUAUCUCUUCGGAGUGUUAUAGCCCGUUGUAUAAUACCCUGUGGUGGACUGAGGUUCGCGCAUCUGCAAGGAUGCUGGCGUAAUGGUCAUCAACGACCCGUCUUGAAACACGGACCAAGGAGUCGUCUUCGUAUGCGAGUGUUCGGGUGUCAAACCCCUACGCGUAAUUAAAGUGAACGGAGGUGGGAGCCUCGGCGCACCAUCGACCGAUCCUGAAGUUUACGGAUGGAUUUGAGUAAGAGCAUACGGGGCCGGACCCGAAAGAAGGUGAACUAUGCCUGUAUAGGGUGAAGCCAGAGGAAACUCUGGUGGAGGCUCGCAGCGGUUCUGACGUGCAAAUCGAUCGUCAAAUAUGGGCAUGGGGGCGAA